UCGGCCAUACGGUGGACAGACGUUAUAGAGAGCUCGGUCAUACGGUGGACAGACGUUAUACAGACCUCGGCCAUACGGUGGACAGACGUUAUACAGACCUCGGUCAUACGGUGGACAGACGUUAUACAGACCUCGGUCAUACGGUGGACAGACGAUUUUAGAUCCUUUAAAAUAGAAAUUUUUUCUGAAUGACUUGUUUAUUUACUUACUAGAGUGUUGAUAUAAACCUUUGAUAUGUUGCAAAAAAUGCCUUUCACUUGAAUGUCUUAGUCUUCAUCUCUGCUUAGCCUUCAUCACGGCUUAUUGUUGGGGGCAUAUUGUUUCUCAAGCAGAUAAUUUUUUCUGGUCUUAAUGUUCCUCUAAUGAAACACCUGGUAUUUCAAGGACUCGAUUCACAAAUCUGAGAUAAAAAUGAAAGCAUGUGGAAGAUUUUACCUAAUUGUUAGAAUUAUCAGUAUUAAUCUGAAGUGUUAUAUUGUAAUAAACAUUUCAGUGUGUGUUCUAUAGUCUCGUUUGACCUUUUUGUCUUACAUGUGCCUUAAAUUUCUUUUACAUUCCUGUACCUAUGUAUUAUGUAAGCAUAAUAAACUUGAUUCAAGCUAGGACAUAUAACACUGUCAAUCUAAUUACUAGGUGUAUGUCCCUGGCUUGAUGAACAAGAGGGUUGAAAGGAUGUGUGGAUGUAGCAUGACUUUGGGUUGGGGUUAAGAUUGUAACAUUACAUUUAUAAUAGAUAAUUGGAAUAUAAAAUAAACCGUAUGGAAAAAAUAA